ensembl:lncRNA
GGACACCAGUUUGCGCUUCACCACACGGUCAGCCCUCGGAGGCAGCCAGUCUCCGAGAGGCCGGGCUUUGGUCCUACCCCAGGCGGUCUCGCCCCCAGGAGACCCUCGGCAGUUUCUGGAGAUGUUUCUGGUGGUCACACUCGGGGUGCAUGCGUGUGUGUAUAUUACAUUCUACAGUCAUGUACGGCAUAUACGCCUGACUGCAUAUACAGUGACGGUCCCAUGAGAUUAAUACCACACAGCCCAGAUGUGUAGCAGGCUAUACCAUCCAGGUUUGGCGCCAAGGCCGCCUGGACUCCCGCCCGCGCCGAUCUGUAACCAAACACCGCUCUGCUCCCUUGAGCCCAUGUCCCCGCCGCCGUGCUCGCUGUGCGUCUCUCUGCUGGGAAAUGGCGAACAACUGUGCCGAAAACCAGUGUUCCCUGGAGCGCUUUGCACUCCCAGCUCAAAUAAAACUCUCUAGGUAGAAUGAUCAUUGGUUAUUGGCAUUGACAGACCUGAAAGAACGAGUGGUUUCACUGCUCUGUGCCGUAGUUGCCCCAUCUGGAACAAAGACAUGUUACUGUACCAGCCUAGGAGCUGUUGUGAGGAUCGAAGGAGAGAUCCUUACAAAGCGCUCCACACGUUAGCUAUUAUUAUGCUUGGUGCUGUUGUUGGCGAGCUAGACUCAGAGGAGCCGGUGGGGAUGAGGCGGGCGCACACCAGCACAACACGGAGUGAGAAGCACAGCUCAGCGCGUUCAGAAAACAGAGGGGCCCCAGCAAGGCCAGGUAUUUUCAUCCUCCUGACCCUCUGCCCAGGCUCUCAAGGGACAACUGGAGUCGCAGGUGUUUCAUGUGGUUCUCACUAAACACAAGGAACAACCAAUACAUUGUACGGGCUUGCACUUCAGUCAGGAUCACCUGUUGAUCUCCCUAGUGCGUAUUUCUUUUGAGAUAUCCAGCUUUUUUUGUUUAGAAUUUCUAUGUUAAGUAGUUAUUUAUUGUCAUAGCGAUUAUAUGCACGUUUCCAGAAUGUUUUUUGCUUUUUAAAAGAAACCUUUUUAAAAAAAUGAGUGUGGGGCCGGCCCGUGGCCAAGUGGUUGAGUUCACACUCAGCUUCGGCGGCCCAGGGUUUCACCAGUUCAGAUCCUGGGUGCGGACAUGGCACCGCUCGUCAGGCCACGUUGAGGCGGUGUCCCACAUGCCACAACUAGAAGGACCCACAACUGAAAUAUACAACUAUGUACUGGGGGGCUUUGGGGAGAAAAAGGGAAAAUAAAAUCUUUUAAAAACUGAGUGAUUCUUAUCAGCUUGCUGGGGCUGCCGUGACCAAGCCCCACGGACGGACGGGGCUCUUCGACAGCAGGAGCUCACUUCCCCACGUUGAGGAGGCCAGAAUUCAGAGAUCAGGGCGGUGGAGGGUCGGUUUCUCCUGAGGCCUCUGUCCUUGCAUAUAGACGGCUGUCUCCUCCCUCUGUCCUCACAGGGUGGUCCCUCUGUGCGUGUCUGCGUCCUCAUCCCCUCUUCGUAUGAGGACACCAGUCACAUCGGAUGAGGGCCCACCGCAAUGCCCUCACUUUAACUUACUUGCCUCUUUAAAGACUGUUUUCAAACACAGUCACAUUCUGAAGUACCAGGAUUAGGGCUUCAACAGAUGAAGGUGGGGGAGACAUGGCUCAGGCAAUGACAGCCAGAACCCAGGUGGGCAGGGGAGCGGUGAGACAAGGCUGGGGGACUUGAUAAGGCCAGACCUGGAGAUAUAUUUAGGCCAUGGUCAGUGGCUGCAAUUUUGCCCCCAGCGCCACAGGGAGCCCUGAUGGACGCUAGUCAGGGAGGGUGGUAGUCAGUCUUGUGUCCAAGCAAGACGACUCUGGCUGCCAGUGGGGCACUGAGGCCAGACUGGAGGCCGUAGGGGGAGGGAGGCAAAGGAACCAGACACUGGUAAUGUCAGUAGGGUGGACGGGCCCGGGCAGAGAGGAGAGGGGGUGGGAUCCAAGCCAUCAGGCUUGGAAGUCCUUGCUGUUGACCACUUCUCUCCCCCUGGCAGGAUGGGACAGAGCGUGGCAGAGACGACUGCAGCCCUGCCUCUCCCCCGUCUGCUCCCCUUCUCCCUCACCCAGGAGGAUGGAGUCCAUGGCCACAAGCCUUUGUCUUUCUCAGGCUCUGCCCAUUGGCCUUCACAAUGGCCCCAUGGGGUGGGCGUUAUGAUUAGCCCUAUUUUGCAGAUGAGGAGCCUGAAGCACAGCGAGCUUAAGUGACUGGCCUUGGGGCGCACAGCUAAUUACCCCAGAUUCAAACAGAGCCAAACCAUCGGUGGAAACAGCGAGGCUUUGUCUUGGCGAUUCUGUGGGGAUGCACACCCCCCGUAGCGCCGCCUUCGCCGAUGCUCAGCACACCGCAGACGCCUCAGCGCACCGAAAGAAACAUAGAAUGGGACAGCCGCCUCGACCGGUUCUGCGGAAACAAAGCCAUCAAUAUUGUUUUAAAUUUCGCUUCUUCCUUUUUAAAUGGUGGUGCAUUUUAAACGAUGAUUACAUCUUAGCUGGGUGAAAGUAAUAAUCUUAUGGGAAAUACAGUGUAGGGAGAUUUCACCCUUCCUCUCCGUCCCAGCCCACCGGGUACCCUUCCUGGCAGCCACAUCUGUUACACAUUCCUGAAGGGGUAGUUCUAAGCACAUGGCAUUGUCAGCCCCAUUGCCCUCCCCCCCUUUUUUUUUUAACAGGAUAGUACUUUUUGCACCCAUUUUUCUGCAACUUUCUAUGUUCAAUUUAAUGUGAAGACUGCACAGCAGAGGUGAAAAGAACGGACUGAACCCGACUAAGUUUGACUCCGGCCUCUCCUCUUGCUGUGCUGGGACUCUGAGCCAGUUGUUUAACCUCUAGUGCCUCAUUUUCCUCAGCUCUAAAAUGGGGAUUGCCAUGAGGGUUGCAUGAAUGAAAAUCUGCAAAGCACCUAGAGUGGUACCUAAUAAAACACACAUAUGCGUGAAAUAAAA